rnacentral:lncRNA from 1 species
GAGGGGCCAGGCCUCAGGUCCCACAGCAGGGCUGGGAGCAUCCCCGGGGCAGGCGGAGGUCGGAGGUGGUGAGGCCUUUCGGCGAAGCUGAGGCCUGGAACAACCCGGUGGGAAGCCACGGAGGGGGUCCCCUAGCGGAGGCUGGGCGCGGGCCGGUGCGCGUGCGCGGCUGGAGGCUCAGCGCGCGAGCGUGCGCGUGAUUUGGCCCUGAACGGACGCCGUAGCCGAGAGGUUGGGCGGAUGUUGUGAACCGGGUCGCGGCGGCCGAGGCUCGGGCCUCCAGGACCACUGGCUGCCCAUGAGAGACGAAGGAUGGCAUCCAAGGGGGCCGGCGUGUCUUUCUCCCGCAAGAGCUGUAGGCUGACCUCAGAUGCUGAGAAAUCCAGGGUCACAGGCAUUGUGCAGGAGAAGCUGCUGAAUGACUACCUGAACCGCAUCUUUCCUCUUCUGACCAUGCACCCCCAGCAGCCACCGGCAGGU